rnacentral:rRNA from 1 species
UUGGAGGGCAAGUCUGGUGCCCGCAGCCGCGGUAAUUCCAGCUCCAAUAGCGUAUAUUAAAGUUGUUGCAGUUAAAAAGCUCGUAGUUGAAUUUUGGGUUUGGCCGAUUGGUCCGUUCUUGUAACGAGUACUGGUCGGUUGGGCCUCACCGCUUGGUGAUGCGUAAUGUCCUUUAUUGGGUGUUGCGAGUAGUCAAGACUUUUACCUUGAAAAAAUUAGAGUGUUUAAAGCAGGCAUAUGCCAGAAUACAUUAGCAUGGAAUAAUAAAAUAGGACGAUAAUUCUAUUUUGUUGGUUUCUAGGAUGAUCGUAAUGAUUAAUAGGGAUAGUUGGGGGCAUUAGUAUUCAAUUGUCAGAGGUGAAAUUCUUGGAUUUAUUGAAGACUAACUACUGCGAAAGCAUUUGCCAAGGAUGUUUUCAUUAAUCAAGAACGAAAGUUAGGGGAUCGAAGACGAUCAGAUACCGUCGUAGUCUUAACCAUAAACUAUGCCGACUAGGGAUCGGACGAUGUUAAUUUUUUAAUGACUCG